GUGAGAGCUGCAGUUCUUCGACCGAUUUGGACUAUGUCUGAUGGUCUGGUUGUAUCGAUAUCUACUUUUCCUUGCAGUAUCCUAGGUAAAUCGUAAUAAACAGCUGCUGGAACAGCCUCUGAAAAGAAAAAAAAUUUGGGGAAGGAAGAGCCAAGCCUGAUGAAUAAAAGUAGCCAUUUCGAGAUGUCUCUUUUGAACAAAUUAAUAAGUCCCUUGUAAAUUAACUUUUAUAUUUUGUGUAUUUUGUAUUACAAAAGAUAAUUUAAAAUAAAAUGUCUUCUAAUUUGUAUCCAAUA